GACGAACGCUGGCGGCGUGCUUAACACAUGCAAGUGGAGCGACGAACCAGGCUUCGGCCUGGGGCAGAGCCGCGAACGGGUGAGUAACACGUGGGUAACCUGCCCUGAUGAUUGGGACAACCCGAGGAAACUCGGGCUAAUACCAAAUGUGCCCUCCGGCCGUAAGGCCUCUGGGGAAAGGAGCUUCGGCCUCCGCAUCGGGAUGGGCCCGCGGCCCAUUGGCUUGUUGGUGAGGUAACGGCUCACCAAGGCUACGAUGGGUAGCUGGUCUGAGAGGACGAUCAGCCACACUGGGACUGAGACACGGCCCAGACUCCUACGGGAGCAGCAGUGGGGAAUCUUGCGCAAUGCGCGAAAGCGUGACGCAGCAACGCCGCGUGGGG
rnacentral:rRNA from 1 species